AUACGACUAAAUCAAAUCUGAUUUCAAUGCAAUUUUGUGAGUCGCUUAAAGUUUCAAGAAAUUGCUUUUAUGGGGCAUUAAGUCAAUUUUAAUGUGGCAUGCGGCGUGUGGCAUGUGGUAUGUGGCAUAUGCAUGCCAGACAACCCAAAAUACAGUUGAUUAAGCGCAUCUAAUGAAUAGCAACGCCGAUACGUAUGAAGCUGCCGAAUGUUGCCAGACAAACAAAAAAAUAACUUUGGCUGUA